rnacentral:tRNA from 1 species
GUUAUUGUGGUGUAAAUAAACACAUUGUAUUUUCAUUGCAAAAAUAGUUUAAAAUCUCAUUAAUU